GCCCGGGUGGUGGAAUUUGGCAGACACGCAAGAAUGAGGGUCUUGUGCCGAAAGGCGUGCGGGUUCAAGUCCCGCCUCGGGCACCA
rnacentral:tRNA from 1 species